AUGACUUCUGAUACAGGAGCAGAAAAAGUAAUGCAAUCUCUUUCUGGACGGUGAAGCUUUCCCCUGUGAACCUGGAAUCUUCUGAUAUGGCUUAAUACAAUCCCAGGCAUGAUAGUGCUGGAUGUGUGGCAAUAUAGAAUUAUGAUUCUACUGCAUUAUUAGAAGGGAAUAGAAAACUGAUGUGUUGAAGUAGAAGAAUUAAUGCUUAGGGUCAGAGAUGUGUCUGGAAAGAUGUAGAGAAAUGAAGCGUUGGGCAGAGAGUGAGCUGCAGUACUAGAUAGGCCCUCCCUUGCACCUGUCAUUGCUGCUGUCUGCUCCCAGCGUUCCAGAAUUAACUG